ACCUUAAUUUAUCUACUUUUCAAAGAGCUUGUUUUCUUAAGAUAAAUACUUUGGUGGGCCUAAAUGGACUCGAACCAUCGACCUCACGCUUAUCAGGCGUGUGCUCUAACCAACUGAGCUAUAGGCCCCGAACCAUUAUUUAUUUUUAUCUUAAAAAAUAAAAAACUUUUUUAAGUCUUUCACAACUGAAGAUGAUAUUUUCCUUAGAAAGGAGGUGAUCCAUCCCCACCUUCCGGUAGGGAUACCUUGUUACGACUUAACCCCAAUCAUCGACCCUACCUUAGACAGUUCCCUCUUUUGCAAGUUAGGCUACUGGUUUCGAGUAUUGUCAACUUUCAUGGUUUGACGGGCGGUGUGUACAAACCCCGAGAACGUAUUCACCACGACAUGCUGAUUCGCGAUUACUAGCGAUUCCGACUUCAUGAAGUCGAGUUGCAGACUUCAAUCCGAACUGAGACUGUUUUUUUGAGAUUUGCUAAAAACUCACGCUUCAGCUACUCUUUGUAACAGCCAUUGUAUCACGUUUGUAGCCCAGGUCAUAAGGGGCAUGAUGAUUUGACGUAAUCCCCACCUUCCUCCAAUUUAUCAUUGGCAGUCUCACUAAAGUGCCCAACUAAAUGAUGGUAACUAGCGAUAAGGGUUGCGCUCGUUGCGGGACUUAACCCAACAUCUCACGACACGAGCUGACGACAACCAUGCACCACCUGUAUCCCUGAUAACCUCCACUAUAUUUCUAUAGCUUUGCAGAGUAUGUCAAGACCUGGUAAGGUUUUUCGUGUAUCUUCGAAUUAAACAACAUGAUCCACCGCUUGUGCGGAGUCCCGUCAAUUCCUUUAAGUUUCAUACUUGCGUACGUACUACUCAGGCGGAGUACUUAAUGUGUUAACUUCAGCACUGGUUUAACCCAACACUUAGUACUCAUCGUUUACGGCGUGGACUACCAGGGUAUCUAAUCCUGUUUGCUCCCCACGCUUUCGUGCCUCAGCGUCAGUUAAGACCCAGCAAGCCGCCUUCGCUACUGGUGUUCCUCCAUAUAUUUACGCAUUUUACCGCUACACAUGGAAUUCCACUUGCCUCUAUCCAACUCUAGUCAAACAGUUUCCAUAGCAUCACAACGUUAAGCGUUGAACUUAUACCAUAGACUUAUUAAACCGCCUACACACCCUUUACGCCCAAUAAAUCCGGAUAACGCUUGCCCCCCAUGUAUUACCGCAGCUGCUGGCACAUAGUUAGCCGGGGCUUAUUCAUUAAAUACCGUCAGAAUGAUUUUUCCAUCAUUUUUUCUUCUUUAAUAAAAGAACUUUACAUACCUAAAUAUUUCAUCGUUCACGCGGCGUUGCUCGGUCAGAGUUUCCUCCAUUGCCGAAAAUUCCUUACUGCUGCCUCCCGUAGGAGUUUGGGCCGUAU
rnacentral:rRNA from 1 species